rnacentral:rRNA from 1 species
CGGACGGGUGAGUAAUGUCUGGGAAACUGCCCGAUGGAGGGGGAUAACUACUGGAAACGGUAGCUAAUACCGCAUAAUGUCUGCGGACCAAAGCGGGGGACCUCCGGGCCUCGCGCCAUCAGAUGAACCCAUAUGGGAUUAGCUUGUAGGUAAGGUAACGGCUUACCUAGGCGACGAUCCCUAGCUGGUCUGAGAGGAUGAUCAGCCACACUGGGACUGAGACACGGUCCAG